GACCGGGCAUCAGCUUGGAGGCCCCUCGGGGCUGCCGCCGGUGCGGGAGGCGUCCGCGGCCGUGCGGGCUGGGGACCGAGCGGCGGGUUCCGGCGCGGGAUCUGAGCCGCCGUCGAUGGAUUUCUCGCAGCCUGGUUUCGUUUUUCUUUGGAUCCGGUAUGGUCCCCAUCUCUCUCUCUCUCGCACAAGAUCUCUCUCUCUCUCUCUCUCGGUGCGUGCGUGCGCGCAGUUCACACCACUAGACCCAAACCCUAAACCAAAUCAGGGGAGCUCUCAUUGCCGGAUCGCUGGCCUAUCGUCCGGAUGUCCGCCGCGUCAGUUCCCCACAGCUACGGUGCCGCCAGCCACCGCCGUUCCAUUGCCUUGGAUUCGGCUGUGCGUGUGGGCUGGGAACCGUUCUCUGUUGUCUGAUGCGUCGUUGGAGCGGGAGCUUUGGUCGGUCGAGGCCAGGUAUGAGCA
rnacentral:lncRNA from 1 species